UUCCCUGGGGUGCGCGUGAUUUUUAUCUCGGUGCUGACCUUACAAGCAUAAAAACGGAAGCUGUGCGGUUUCUUGUGUGCAUGCCCGUAUCGGGAAGCCUAAUGGAAAUAUACAUGGCGUCCACCUGGGAGACCAGGUUCUGCACCGAAGAUGAGACACGGCACUCUGGGGUUU
rnacentral:other from 1 species